rnacentral:misc_RNA from 1 species
UGGAGAAGAGGAUUUUUGGGAAAGAAGAUUUGAGUGUUAAUAUGGGUUUCCCAGUUCAUAGUCAAGUGAUUAAGAUCAAGCAAGAAUCAAAUAAAAUCAUAGAUUGGUCUGCAGGGCAACAGGAGAUGAGACCUGUUCUUAAAGAAAUCUCCGGUGUUCGCCAUAUCUCUCGUUCUCCUUUGGGAUUAGCUACAAGACCCGUAUCCGUUGGCGAUUCAUAGAAUACAGUAACGUUUCUAUUGGAGGAUAUCGUUUUGAUCCUAUCUGGUUUUAUGCUAGAUCCUCUGUUUUUUUCUCUUUUUUUU